rnacentral:lncRNA from 1 species
AAAUCCCAGGGGAAAACAUUGCAAGAUCGGGGCUCUUCAAUGCUCUCUUGGGAAUGCAAGUCAGCACAAUAGCAGAAUCACUCUGCAGAGUGUUGAAAUUGCCACCCUAACUAAGGAAAUCCAAAGGAAAAUAAGGCCUGAAUAAGAACCUGGAAUCCUCCUGCUCUGAGCUGGAUCAAGGACCAAAGGGAAACCUACUGGUUGUGAGUGCUUCUGUUUCACUGACUCUUGAUCACCAGCCACUGGGUCUGCUUCUACCAGCAAUUUAUGGCUCCUGCAGCUUCUCUGAGAACAGGGGGUUCAAUCUAGAGUUGGCUGGCUCCAAGGCAGUACUAGCAUGGCAGAAGGGCAUGGUGGACAAAAGUUGUUUAUAUCAUGGAAGCUGGGAAGCAGAAAGAAACAAGAGGAUCCAGGAACAAGAGCACACCUUCCAGAGCCAGAGAUUUAGCUCAGUGAUUCUGUCACCUGCCUCGCAAGCUCAAGGUCCCAAGUUUGAUCCCUGGUACCCCCCCCAAAAAAAAACCUAAAUAAAUAAAUAAAUAAAAUGAGAA